UACAGAGGUCCCGAGCGUUGUUCGGAUUCAUUGGGCGUAAAGGGUGCGUAGGUGGCGCUGUAAGUGGGGUGUGAAAUCCCGGGGCUUAACUCCGGAACUGCAUUCCAUACUGCGGUGCUUGAGGACUGGAGAGGAGACUGGAAUUACGGUGUAGCAGUGAAAUGCGUAGAGAUCGUAAGGAAGACCAGUGGCGAAGGCGGGUCUCUGGACAGUUCCUGACAUGAGGCACGAAGGCCAGGGGAGCAAACGGG
rnacentral:rRNA from 1 species